UUUUCUUAAACAAAUGCUUCAAGGAAGAAAGAAAAAGAAGGGAAAAUAUCAAAGUGUAUUUUACUUCUUUUUCUACCCUAUCCCCCUCCCCCUAUUAAUACAAUUUUAUUUUCAGCACAUUUUUGUAACCGCGCGCAAUGCGGUUAGUAGAGUCAGUGUUUGCUUUCGUAAAAGUUUUUUUCAAAUGAAUAACGCGAAAUUAGAGUCAGUGUUUGCUCGCCGAUAUUAAUUCAAACGGUCGCGUUAAAAGUUUAUUUCUUUAUAUAAUUCGUUUCGCGUUAGAGUCAGUGCUCCUCUCAAGAAAAAACGGCGAUCAUCCAUCACGCGAAGAGACGUUCUUCCACGUCCUCCUGCACGAUGGCAAAUGGUUCUUCGCAUCUAAGGGUGAGUCGCAUGCAUUUAUGUUCCUCCGGUCACCCAAUCAUGUCGUAGGACGAAAGGUCCGAAUCGACACGGGUGACUGGUUGUAUACGUAGAUUUUUGCAACGAGCAUAGUGACCACGGGUAUAUUAUUAUACCCGUGAGUAGUAACAAACUGUGUUUUAUUUAUUAGCUCAGGCUAGAUCUUCUUGCACAUCGCGUUUUAUUGAAUAUUA